rnacentral:lncRNA from 1 species
UAUAUAUAUGAAAAAAGUUUAUAUAGAGUUGAGGCUCUAAACAAUGAAAUUAGAGCGCACAUCAAAUAUUUCACUAGAAGAUGUUGUUUUGAUAGCCAAAUAUACUCAAAUUGAUUAUCUCGACAUCAGAUACAUAGACAUGAGAAAAAAAUGGAUUUCAAGUUUUGAAAAUAGCUCGUCUUGUAAUGCAUUUUUGGACCGUCAAUUUUCAAGUUUUCAUAGAUCUGCUCGAUUUAUAUCCUUUUUUAAGCUUUAAAUUUUAUAAUUAAAGAUGAAAACAUAUUUUAAAGACAAAAAUUUCCAAUAUUGAAACCGCCAUUCUGGACAUUAUUUAAAUGUUCGCUCUACUCUCACUGAGGCCUUUCAAUGGAUGUGGUUUUUGUCCUAGGCCUUGGAAGAUGCUAAACCCUAGAGAAUGUGAAGUUUGAUGGGGGAAGUUGAGUGCUUUAGGAGAGGCGGAAUUUUUAUGGGAGAGGAACUUGGUGUAUGCAAACCCUAGUCAAGGUGAGGCUUUCUCACUUGCAUGAUGCUGAAAGUUUUGCC